rnacentral:rRNA from 1 species
UUGAAUGGGGGAACCUGAUCCAGCAUGCCGCGUGUGUGAAGAAGGCCUUCGGGUUGUAAAGCACUUUUGUCAGGAACGAAACGGUGGGGGCUAAUAUCUCCUGCUAAUGACGGUACCUGAAGAAUAAGCACCGGCUAACUACGUGCCAGCAGCCGCGGUAAUACGUAGGGUGCGAGCGUUAAUCGGAAUUACUGGGCGUAAAGCGUGCGCAGGCGGUUGUGCAAGACAGAUGUGAAAUCCCCGGGCUUAACCUGGGAAUUGCAUUUGUGACUGCACGGCUAGAGUGUGUCAGAGGGGGGUAGAAUUCCACGUGUAGCAGUGAAAUGCGUAGAUAUGUGGAGGAAUACCGAUGGCGAAGGCAGCCCCCUGGGAUAACACUGACGCUCAUGCACGAAAGCGUGGGGAGCAAACAGGAUUAGAUACCCUGGUAGUCCACGCCCUAAACGAUGUCGACUAGUUGUUCGGGAAGGAGACUUCUUGAGUAACGUAGCUAACGCGUGAAGUCGACCGCCUGGGGAGUACGGUCGCAAGAUUAAAACUCAAAGGAAUUGACGGGGACCCGCACAAGCGGUGGAUGAUGUGGAUUAAUUCGAUGCAACGCGAAAAAGCUUACCUACCCUUGACAUGCCAGGAAUUCUGCUGAGAGGUGGAAGUGCCCGAAAGGGAC